CUUUAAGCAUAUCAAUAAGCGGAGGAAAAGAAACCAACAGGGAUUGCCCUAGUAACGGCGAGUGAAGCGGCAACAGCUCAAAUUUGAAAUCUGGCUUCGGCCCGAGUUGUAAUUUGCAGAGGAUGUUUCUGGCGCGGUGCCUUCCGAGUUCCCUGGAACGGGACGCCACAGAGGGUGAGAGCCCCGUAUGGUCGGACACCAAGCCUGUGUGAAACUCCUUCAACGAGUCGAGUAGUUUGGGAAUGCUGCUCUAAAUGGGAGGUAAAUCUCUUCUAAAGCUAAAUACCGGCCAGAGACCGAUAGCGCACAAGUAGAGUGAUCGAAAGAUGAAAAGCACCUUGAAAAGGGGGUUAAAUAGUACGUGAAAUUGUUGAAAGGGAAGCACUUAUGACCAGACUUGGGCCGGGCGGCUCAUCAGGGGUUCUCCCCUGUGCACUCCGCCCGGCACAGGCCAGCAUCGGUUUUCGCGGGGGGAUAAGACCGACGGGAACGUAGCACCCUCCGGGGUGUGUUAUAGCCCGGCGGACGAUACCCUCGCGGGGACCGAGGUCCGCGCUCCGCAAGGAUGCUGGCGUAAUGGUCAUCAGUGACCCGUCUUGAA
rnacentral:rRNA from 1 species